rnacentral:rRNA from 1 species
GAUGAACGCAAGCGGCGUGCCUAAUACAUGCAAGUCGAGCGAACGGACGAGAAGCUUGCUUCUCUGAUGUUAGCGGCGGACGGGUGAGUAACACGUGGAUAACCUACCUAUAAGACUGGGAUAACUUCGGGAAACCGUAGCUAAUACCGGAUAAUAUUUUGAACCGCAUGGUUCAAAAGUGAAAGACGGUCUUGCUGUCACUUAUAGAUGGAUCCGCGCUGCAUUAGCUAGUUGGUAAGGUAACGGCUUACCAAGGCAACGAUGCAUAGCCGACCUGAGAGGGUGAUCGGCCACACUGGAACUGAGACACGGUCCAGACUCCUACGGGAGGCAGCAGUAGGGAAUCUUCCGCAAAGGGCGAAAGCCUGACGGAGCAACGCCGCGUGAGUGAUGAAGGUCUUCGGAUCGUAAAACUCUGUUAUUAGGGAAGAACAUAUGUGUAAGUAACUGUGCACAUCUUGACGGUACCUAAUCAGAAAGCCACGGCUAACUACGUG